AUGAACACUGAAGGGCUAAACCGGACAAGAGAGGUGGAACCAGCAACCACAGACCUAAGAGCUGAGAAACAUGAGAGCGCCUCCAAGGAGCAGCGGCACUUCUCGCCUGCACCUCUCUUCCCCACCCCCUCCUUCCCUGCGUCUCCAGCCGCCCGCGGAGCGCGGCGGGGACGAGGACGAGCGCGGCGGCGCUGCGGCACCCCCGCGGAGCAGAAGGAAUGGCGCCCUGAAAUGGCGCCCGCCGGCCCGCGGCGAGGCGGAGCCAGCAGCGGAAGGGCCGCCGCCACCACCACGCGGCCGCGGGGAGCGUUACCCGGCCCGGCCCGGGCGGACACAAAGAAGGUGCCCGGCGGCUCAAAGCCCGAGGCAGCGGGCAGAGCAGGGUCAGCCCUAGAGCCACGGGCACUCCGCCCGCCCCCUAAAGCGGCUCGACAGCGAUGCGGAGCCUCCGCCCCCCGCUCGGCCUCUGCGGCUGCUUCCGUGCAGGCCGCGGCCCAGAGCGCCCUCGCUGCGCUCGCCAUAAUCCCCAACAGCAGCUCUCCCCGGGCACCCCCACCCCGCCCUUGGAGCGCGCCCGCUGCCGCUGCGGACCCUGCGCUCUCCCCGCGGGCACACAGGGCCAGAGGCCGUCUGAGGGCCCUCAGCAAUAGCCCAGGCGGCGACACACCAGUGUCCUCCACGCAUCCUCUUCCCCGUUCUACCGCCAACCCCACGGAAGCGCUGGGGCCACGGCAGCCCGCAGGGGUUAAGGCCCCACUACAGGAGACACAGGCCGUCUCACACCGCUGUGUCACGCCGCGUCGCCGUGCGGAUUACAUCGGCGGCUCUAUCGGCCCAGGGACGGCCUUAACCGACCUGUGCACUUCUCUCGCCCCUCUCCCCUCCUCCCCGGCCCCGGCCGCACGGUGCCGCGGGCUGCGCGUACCUGCGCCCGCCGCCAGCCCCGCCGCGUACGGGAGAAAAAGGGGAGCAGCCCCAGACUCCGACGCGCACAUCCACCAGCGCCACCCGCGAGUAGCCCCGCCGCCACUCCCCGCGCGGCCUCGCCGCCACCUCGUUGGGUGA
rnacentral:lncRNA from 1 species